rnacentral:tRNA from 1 species
UCCUCGUUAGUAUAGUGGACAGUAUCCCCGCCUGUCACGCGGGAGACCAGGGUUCGAUUCCCCGACGGGGAG